GGGGUCAUAGUUAAGUUGGUUAUAACGCCGGCCUGUCACGCCGGAGGGCAGGGGUUCAAGUCCCCUUGGCCCCG
rfam:Smithella sp. D17 contig_168, whole genome shotgun sequence.